rnacentral:tRNA from 1 species
GGUCGAUUAGUUUAGUGGCAGAACAGGGUGUUAACUCCACCCAAAUGAAGGUUCGAUUCCUUCAUUGACCU